rnacentral:sRNA from 16 species
ACCUUCCAGGUUGCAGCCUGAAUUAGGCUGAUGGCUGGUGGCUUUUUGGUCACCAGCCU